CGCAGCCCCAGCGGCCGGCCGUGGAGAUAGACAAAGGCCCCGACACAGGGGGCGCAGGGCGUGUCCCCGGGCUCAGGGAGCCCCGGGGCCCAAGCUGGCGGGGACUCACCUGGGACCCGGAGCGACGCGGCAGGCGGGGUGAUGCUGAGCCGCUGCGGCGGGGCUCACGGCACAAAUUGGAACGUCCAAACAGCUGAUCGUGACAUCACAAAGGGGCCCGCCCGCCGCGCGUCACUGGCCGCCGAAGAGCUCUCUCCCCGGUUCAGGGGGGAGCACCAGCAAGUGAGGGGAAGUUGGUGAAGCUGACGUGAACUUCUGCAAAGAGUCGGACUUGGAGAGGAAUUGCUCUGGGCUGAAUAAACAUUGAGCUAGUACCGCUCUGUCCUGGAAAGUUUACACGCCCUGUUGAAUCCAUGGUUGCUACCGGAAUUGGACACAAGAGUGACAGGGACAGGGAUUAUAAAUCCCGAUUUAGGUAUGGAGAAAUUGAGGCUCACAAAUACCAUUAUUAGUGUAUGAAUUCAUGUCCACUAAUGCACUAAACACACACGUAAAAAAAAAAAUAGGCACUAUUGCCACUGCCAGACAAAUAGUUGAUAUUUAUAGAGCACUUAAUUGUGUGCCAGUCACUGUGUUAUCGUUUUUUGAUCUUCACAACACCAAAUGUAUUAUUUUAGUUAAGGAGACAGACCCAGGGCUGGGGAUAUGGCUCAAGCGGUAGCGCGCUYGCCUG